AUUAUGUUGUGAACCAUAUCCCAUAAACUACCCUGUUGUAAAAGUCGUCUUUGACAAACUACAUCUCCGUCAGACCUCCGUCCACUUUCUUCUCCAAACCAAAUACUGUUCAAGGUUUCUGCAUAAACGUAAACAAAAUCCUCGUGCAACAAUAAGAUUUAAAUUCGUAAAAAAAAUAGAAACAAUUUACGCUUAAAAUUCAGUGAAUCAUUUUGCAAACUAAUAGUGAAUUAAUUUUUACCAAAUGAAUAUUUUUUUUCAGAAAUUGAAUAGUUUAGACUCCGAUUCCAACCACUAUUCCCGUACUAUACGACAAUAGAUCGAAACCUCGUUACUGAAAUAUAUUUCACCAGAAGUUAUCGUCUACGUAUAUGUGUGGGACUCCGCCUAGAGUUUGUAAUUCUUGAGAAGCGCCUUUACCUUGGAGAAUAUAUAUCCCGUUCUUA